UAAUACGUAGGGUGCAAGCGUUGUCCGGAAUUAUUGGGCGUAAAGAGUUCGUAGGCGGUCUGUCGCGUCCGUUGUGAAAGCUUGGGGCUCAACCCCAAGUCUGCAGUGGAUACGGGCAGACUAGAGUCAGGUAGGGGAGAACGGAAUUCCUGGUGUAGCGGUGAAAUGCGCAGAUAUCAGGAGGAACACCGGUGGCGAAGGCGGUUCUCUGGGCCUGUACUGACGCUGAGGAACGAAAGCGUGGGGAGCGAACAGGAUUAGAUACCCUGGUAGUCCACGCCGUAAACGGUGGGCGCUAGAUGUGGGGACCUUCCACGGUUUCUGCGUCGCAGCUAACGCAUUAAGCGCCCCGCCUGGGGAGUACGGUCGCAAGACUA
rnacentral:rRNA from 1 species